rnacentral:lncRNA from 1 species
CCCCCUCCGAUAAUGCAAACUGUGCUCUACAGUAAAAUCACGUGUGCCUGUUUUGCCCUUUGAUUUUCACUUUUGAAAAUUAACAAUUCGAUUGCCCCGCUCAUUUAUCAAAUCACUCAGAAAUUCGGCUCUUCAUUAGGGCGCGGGGGAGAACAGCAUCAACAUAGCUGAAGAUCUACGGUAAGCCAUUGGAGUUGAUUUCCCGGUUAAAUCAGAGCUAUUUUUUUACGUUUCUUCUCUUUCGCAAAAACGGAAUGCCCGGUGGUUCUAGGUUUUUGGAAAUUAUUUUUACAAACUUACAAUUUGUCAUUGGGGUUAAGUUAUUCCGGCGAGUUUGGUCGAAUAUAGUUUGAAUUGGGUUUACUGUGCAUUGACAACGAUGCGAGCGCAAGUAAAUGUUAAUUUCCCCGCAAUUUUUUUUUACCCAGUGGGUUCUAGGGUUGUAUUAUGUAAUCUGUUAAUUUUCAUUAGUUUUGGGGUUCUCUUUGCACAAUAUUCUUAAUUGCGCUCAACUGAUGUUCUUUUUUGUGGGGGUUUGCUCGAUUUUGACAAACAAUUGGUAGGGUUGUAUUCUGUAUAUGGAAUGCAGAUGCUGAAACCCCAGAAUCUUUGGUGAUUAAUUGUGGGUUUCUAUGUAUGUAGCAGUAGUACCGAUAGGAGACGAUUUCUGGGGUCCCCUGCUCUCACAGACUCACGCGAGCUCUAACAACCCAUUCAGGCAAGUAACAUUUCUCAAUUGUGGUUGCAUUCUAGU